AGUAGGGAAACUCCAUAUUCUCUAAUUGAUCGACAAAAGAUGUGCAUGAAAAGACGUUAAAGCAAAAUGAAGUCAUAACAGUGGAUUGAGACAUUUAUUAAGUCGGACCAAAGAGCCCCAGAAACGUUGAAAUUGUUUAUUGAUUUUUGUGUUUUGGCUGGCUGCGCAGGAGUCAUCAGUGGUGCUGCUGCCACAGGACUGCUGUGCAGACGGAGGCACUGACUUCCUCCUACAGAAGGUAAAUUUAGCUGCUGUAAUACAAAGCCCUCGUUGGAACUGUUGCUCCGCCAUUUCUAUGAAUCCUGAUUUUAUAAUCUGUCAGUCAGACCGAGUGGCCCAUUCGUACCACCAGACAGGUCACGGCAGGUGUGAUGGCUGAUAGUUACACAAAAAAAAGGUUAUUUGACUUUUAGAGUCUGAUAGUUUUCCCAUAUUGAUUUUACUGCACUUCCAUUUCUGUUUGUUUGUUUUUCCCUGGAUGCAAAAAUGUUGCAAAUAGCACAAAUAAAUAUACAGUAUUAGUCUGUACAUCUGGAUUAAUGCAGCUCUCUUCAAGUCAUUGACCAGGUCCUCCCGUGCAGUUCUGGGCUUUCUCAGAAUCAUCCUUACGCCACGAGAUGGACUGGGGCCCGGAGCACACAGGACCCUGGUCAGCCACCCUGACAAUACAAUCAAUAACCGCGCACUCAUUACAGGAGCGCUGCCUACCUUCUCCUGCAGUCCUACGCUGGUGUUGAAACAGGAAGAUCUCGAUAGAUGUCCCAGAUCUAGUAUUCAGGCUGCUACAGUGGUCCAGUCGGAUUUUAGUGGAUGAUGGUGAUCCGGUAUAGAGCCCGGGGCCUAUAAAUGGUGAAAAACAAUCUCAGCUAUUCACCUGCUGGUCGGGAGACGGGUACUGCCUUUGGUGUGUGAUGGAUACGGACCCCGGGACAGAAAAGACAAUGUAAUUGUGAGUGUAGUCAUCCUGAUAAAGUGCCACUGAAUAGAUUAAGUGUAGGGUUUUGUUACACAGUAAUGUUUUAAAAUGUGUAAUCCUGCAGGUGAUUUGAUGCUUGCUGAAGGA